GCCGGCGUAGCUUAAUUAAAGCAUAACACUGAAGAUGUUAAGAUGGGCCCUAAGAAGCUCCACUGGCA
rnacentral:tRNA from 1 species